CAAUCGGCCCUUUUCAGGGCCACACAAAACAAAUCAAAAGACAAUU
rfam:Lasius niger Lnig_2.1_10119, whole genome shotgun sequence.